rnacentral:lncRNA from 1 species
GGUUCAUGUGCCCUGCAAAAUUAGCCCAGGCCUGUGACACCCACCUGGAAAUCCCAGUGACCUGGGAGGCUGAGGCAGAAGAAUCAUAAGUUCAAGGCCAGCCUCAACAAUUAGCAAGGUCCAGUCUCAAAAUUAAAAAGGCUGGGAGGGUCGCUCAGUGGUCAGGACCCUCUGGGCUCCAUCCCGGGAGAGAAGAAAGUCCAAAGGAAACAUUAUGUCAUAGGCAUUUUACUCCAAUUUAAAAUGUCCGUGCCCAGCUGCAGGGUGGGGGGUGGCGACCCCGGUGGCCCUGGCCCUCAGGAUCACAGGCGGCAGCUGGCAGAGCGGUCCCUGGCACCUCGGCCCGCCCUGCGAAGACCCCACCUGGGCCGGUUCCGGGCGCCCAGGUGCUUUAGCCUCCCGAGCCCGUCGGGGGCGUCCGAUCCCCGCGCUCGCCUCCACCCGCCCCGACCGGGCAGCUCCAGGGCGACCCGCGGCAGCCCCACGCCCUCUGCUCGCGGCGUCCACCUUCUUUCUCCAUUUUGGAACCUGCCGCCGAGGGUUUCGCGGAGUCGGGGACAGGACAGCGCCGCGGGCGUCCGGGCUGCAGCGCCACCUGCCGGCGGCCCGCAGAUCGCAGCGGCGCGCAGAGAGGCAGGUGCAGGCGGCGGCGCAGGGACCCCGGGCCGCGGGGCAGUGGAGACCUGUCCAGGGCCAAUGCGGGCGCUGGGAACAGUGCCACGUGCUGACCAGAGCUGGCAGCACCCGGGACCCCUGGGAGGUCCUGCCGCAGCCUCGAGACCGCGGAAGUGGCGGCCGAGCCAGCUUUGCACCUGGGGACCCUCCCGCGCGGUCCUCCUCCCGGAGAGCCUCGGGGCCCAGCCACGCCCAGGCCCUCGGAGGGGUUAGUGCCUUUCCUUUGUCUCCUUCCCCCUCCCUCCUCCUGCUGGGAAAUCUGAUAAGCUCGGAAAGCUGAGCCCUGGUGGACCCGGUGGCCAGAUUCUGCAUCAGAGAACAGAGGCCAUGUCCCCAAGGGGGUCACUCCACCACCAGCCGGCCUUCCGAAGCAAUCCUUGCAGCGCCAUUUAGACUAAAAAGAAAAAAAAAAAUGUGUUGUUCAUCUGAAGCUCGCGCGGCCCUACCUUAGGGACCACCGUGCUCCGUCCUGCAGACUGAGCCCAGGGCACUCACUGCACCGGGUCCACCUGAUGCUUUGAACCCAGCCCCUGCUGCCCCUCCAGCCACUGUGGCUUAUUUUAAAACGGACAUGUUUCUUUCUCUUCCUCUCCCUGUCCUCCCCAGUCUCAGGGGAAACAGGAUCACCUUUCUUCUGUCCUGAGCACCACCCACCAUGGGAAGGAAGUCAUCCAGACUUGGGGAUGGCACCAGAAGAUCUCAGAAAUGACCCUCUCCUAAAUUAACAAGUGAAUUACAGCUCAGACCUAGAACACGUGGAAGGUGGCCUUUGAAUCACCUCUUUAAAAGCCCCCUUGUUCCUGCUCAUGGGCAGAAUCCCAGCCUCUGGGACAGCAGUCCCCUGUGUUUCUCCUUUGCUAGCAAAGCAGUAAACCUUGUUUUUUCCUUUUUGUCAAAA